rnacentral:rRNA from 1 species
UACGUAGGGUGCGAGCGUUGUCCGGAAUUAUUGGGCGUAAAGAGCUCGUAGGCGGUGUGUCACGUCGUUCGUGAAAACCUGCAGCUUAACUGUGGGCGUGCGGUCGAUACGGGCAUCACUGGAGUUCGGCAGGGGAGACUGGAAUUCCCGGUGUAGUGGUGGAAUGCGUAGAUAUCGGGAGGAACACCAGUGGCGAAGGCGGUUGCCUGGAGCUUUGCUGACGCUGAGGCGCGAAAGCGUGGGGAGCGAUCCGG